AAGGUGGCGUGGGACGACGUUUAGGCUUAUAUUGGGCGUGCCGCUUCGGCGGCUAUGGCGCUAAACACGUUGUGAAAUAAACGUUUCGGACCCGGGGGCAGUGCCCGGCGGCUCCACCAAUUCCCGGCCCGCGCCGACUUUAUAAGUCCGCCGCGGGUCGCUGUGGGGCCGAUCCAGGAUCGACGGGCGUAAUAAAGACAACGCUUGUGCUCGGCAUGGUACCGCCGUUAUCGGGCUAAAUCUAGAAGUGCCAACGACAACGUUGCACUCGUUGAGGACGUCCGUCUCGCCGCCUAACGGCCGCUAGAUUAUAUGUCCAAAGCGCGGUUCGGGGGGGCACCGGGCAACAGAAGCCCCCCCACU
rnacentral:tmRNA from 1 species